rnacentral:rRNA from 1 species
UGGGGAAUUUUGGACAAUGGGCGAAAGCCUGAUCCAGCAAUGCCGCGUGUGUGAAGAAGGCCUUCGGGUUGUAAAGCACUUUUGUCCGGAAAGAAAUCCUUGGCUCUAAUACAGUCGGGGGAUGACGGUACCGGAAGAAUAAGCACCGGCUAACUACGUGCCAGCAGCCGCGGUAAUACGUAGGGUGCAAGCGUUAAUCGGAAUUACUGGGCGUAAAGCGUGCGCAGGCGGUUUGCUAAGACCGAUGUGAAAUCCCCGGGCUCAACCUGGGAACUGCAUUGGUGACUGGCAGGCUAGAGUAUGGCAGAGGGGGGUAGAAUUCCACGUGUAGCAGUGAAAUGCGUAGAGAUGUGGAGGAAUACCGAUGGCGAAGGCAGCCCCCUGGGCCAAUACUGACGCCCAUGCACGAAAGCGUGGGGAGCAAACAGGAUUAGAUACCCUGGUAGUCCACGCCCUAAACGAUGUCAACUAGUUGUUGGGGAUUCAUUUCCUUAGUAACGUAGCUAACGCGUGAAGUUGACCGCCUGGGGAGUACGGUCGCAAGAUUAAAACUUAAAGGAAUUGACGGGGUCAUAGCUGUUUCCU